rnacentral:tRNA from 1 species
CGCGGGGUGGAGCAGUCUGGUAGCUCGUCGGGCUCAUAACCCGGAGGUCGUGGGUUCAAAUCCCACCCCCGCUCCCA